UCAUAUACCAUCUAAGAAACUUAAAAUUGAUUUUAGUUUUUAUGAGACGAAAGUGAUUUAUUGAGUUUACACUUUUAAUUUUUAUCUUGAGGAUGUGAUCGUACAACUAGUGUUAGUGAGAGUGCACACUAUGAAUAUAUACAAUCUAAAGGGGUGUUGCACUUUACAUAUGGCAUAUAGCAUAACCUCUCAAUCCAUAUUUUCCUAAGUUAUUUUUGAACCCCACAUGAAUUUCAAGUAGUGCAUGUUUUAGCAUUAAAAGUUUAGCCAUAUAUAUAUAUGAUUCACGAACGCGUGUUAAUCUAUGUAUGACUUUAUUCAUUUUACAUGAUGAAAGAUAAACUCACAUCUUCCUUAUGUCUCCUCAAUAAUAUAUUUGUAUGUAGGUUAAAUUCAACAUGAUGAUGACAAGCAAUCAGUGGAGCUUUUCUUGUGGAACUGAAAUACUAGAGGCUUUUACUUCACUUUAUUUUAAGAGUUUUUUUUUACUAUCAUUGAUUUUCUGGUAGGGGUAGAGAUCUUUGGAAUUCAAUAGUAUCUUUUGAAUAAGUUACUCUAUUUAAUAAUUGUUUGUAUUGUUUAAUAUUUAGUGUUUACACUUGUUUUAUUUUUUAGUUUUCAAAGUUAUGAGUUAUAAAAUUAUUGUUAUUAUUUAUAAAAAAUAUAAUGUUUUUGAAAUGUGCAAA
rnacentral:lncRNA from 1 species